UACGGAGAGGGCAAGCGUUGUUCGGAAUCAUUGGGCGUAAAGGGCGCGUAGGUUGUCUUGUAAGUUGAAGGUGAAAUUCCGGAGCUUAACUCCGGAGCUGCCUCCAAUACUGCUUGACUAGAGUGUAAAGUAGGGUAGCAGAAUUCCUAGUGUAGAGGUGAAAUUCGUAGAUAUUAGGAGGAAUGCCAGCGGCGAAGGCGGCUACCUGGGUUACUACUGACGCUGAGGCGCGAAAGCGUGGGGAGCAAACAGG
rnacentral:rRNA from 1 species